GACAGAGGUGCCAAGCGUUAGGCGGAAUCACUGGGCUUAAAGCGUGUGUAGGCGGGUCGUUAAGUACCUUGUGAAAUCCCACGGCUCAACCGUGGAACUGCUCGGUAUACUGGCGAUCUUGGGCCACUUAGGGGCUAGCGGAACAAACGGUGGAGCGGUGAAAUGCGUAGAUAUCGUAAGGAAGACCAGUGGCGAAGGCGGGUCUCUGGACAGUUCCUGACGCUGAGGCACGAAGGUCAGGGGAGCAAACGGG
rnacentral:rRNA from 1 species